UAUUCGGUUUUUUUUAAAACCAUUCAGUCGUAAUUAUAGAACAAGU
rfam:Ancylostoma duodenale strain Zhejiang A_duodenale-1.0_Cont16313.1, whole genome shotgun sequence.